UNCACGCCGUAAACGUUGGGCACUAGGUGUGGGGGNCCUUUUCCGGGUUUUCCGCGCCGUAGCUAACGCAUUAAGUGCCCCGCCUGGGGAGUACGGCCGCAAGGCUAAAACUCAAAGGAAUUGACGGGGGCCCGCACAAGCGGCGGAGCAUGCGGAUUAAUUCGAUGCAACGCGAAGANCCUUACCAAGGCUUGACAUGUGCCGNUCGGCUCCGGAGACGGGGUUUCCUCCUUGUGGGGCCGGUUCACGGGUGGUGCAUGGUUGUCGUCAGCUCGUGUCGUGAGAUGUUGGGUUAAGUCCCGCAACGAGCGCAACCCUUGUCUCGUGUUGCCAGCACGUUGUGGUGGGGACUCGCGGGAGACUGCCGGGGUCAACUCGGAGGAAGGUGGGGAUGACGUCAAAUCAUCAUGCCCCUUAUGUCUUGGGCUUCACGCAUGCUACAAUGGCCGGUACAGAGGGCUGCGAUACUGUGAGGUGGAGCGAAUCCCUUAAAGCCGGUCUCAGUUCGGAUCGGUGUCUGCAACUCGACACCGUGAAGUUGGAGUCGCUAGUAAUCGCAGAUCAGCAACGCUGCGGUGAAUACGUUCUCGGGCCUUGUACACACCGCCCGUCACGUCAUGAAAGUCGGCAACAC
rnacentral:rRNA from 1 species